rnacentral:lncRNA from 12 species
GCAGUCAGUAACAGCUUUCUAAACAAAUCCUGUUUUCUUGAUUUUUACAGAUUGAAGCUACUGAUUCAGAGAAUAAUGUGUUGGUGUUCUUUAAGCUGAGACCUGAUGUAAUUACUGAAGAUAAUCUUCACAGUAAUAUUCUUGUGUCAUCUAUGCUAGAUUCACCAAUCAACACCCUCUAUCAAGCUGUACGACAAGUUUUUGCACCAGUACUACUGAAGGAUGAGAAGUGGAGUAAAGCAUUUGAUCCCAAACUCCAGAAACUUUUAAGUGAGCUUGAAGCUGGCUUGAGUACUGCUCUCAGAAGAUCAGUUCCUAGUUACACAGGAACAAAAUUCAGUGAAGAUGAUGUGCGAGCUAUACUUACACCAACAGAUGAAUUUCAGUUCUGGAGAGAAUGUGCUCGUCAUGGAAAUAAAGGGUGUAGUAAAGAGAGAGCUUCGUAUUUUAGAGAUCUGUUUGAGGAAAUUGCAAAAGAUUAUUACAACUUGGAUACUCUCUCAUUAUUUGAAGUUGUGGAUUUGGUGGAGGCUACCAAGGAUACUGUUGAUAGUGUGUGGAGACAAACAGAACAUGAUCCUUAUCCACAGUCUCGCAUGCAUAAUCUCUUGGAUGUGAUAGGUGGCUCACUAGGUAGAUUUGUUCAGAGAAAAUUAGCAGCUUUGAAUUUGUGGGAGGAUACUUUUCACAGUGUUAAAGAAAACAUACAGGCUGGCAUCUUGGUUUGUGAACAGUGGGUGUCAGCUUGUGAAUACCUAACGGGACAGCUAUGGCAACAUUAUGCCCUACAUCCAUGGAAAAAUGAGAAAUAUUCCCCUGAAUUGAUAGCCAAACUUGGCCAACGUCUUGAUGAGGUAGGGAUUU